UGGGGAAUUUUGCACAAUGGGGGAAACCCUGAUGCAGCGACGCCGCGUGAUUUAGAAGGCCUUCGGGUUGUAAAAAUCUUUUCUAUGGGAAGAAAAUGACAGUACCAUAGGAAUAAGGACCGGCUAAUUACGUGCCAGCAGCCGCGGUAAUACGUAAGGUCCGAGCGUUGUCCGGAAUCAUUGGGCGUAAAGGGUACGUAGGCGGGUAAGCAAGUUAGAAGUGAAAUCCUAUAGCUCAACUAUAGUAAGCUUUUAAAACUGCUCAUCUUGGGGUAUGGAAGGGAAAGUGGAAGUCCUAGUGUAGCGGUGAAAUGCGCAGAUAUUAGGAGGAAUACCGGUGGCGAAGGCGACUUUCUGGCCAUAACCUGACGCUGAGGUACGAAAGCGUGGGUAGCAAACAGG
rnacentral:rRNA from 1 species